CUCUUGAUUCAUGGCGAACCCCGCUCACCUAUUUAUAGACCCUCGUGUUCUUGCUCACCUCUUUAUAGACCCUCGUGCUCUUUUUUUCAUUAACACGUUGGGUUGGAGCGGACCAAAUGACCGAAAUUUUGGCCCCGCCUGGAAACGGCCGCUUGGCUUGGAAAUUAUUUUUGGGCCCUCCCCGAGAUAAGAUAAGAAAUAAAAAUAAAAAAUAAAAAAUAAUGUAUAUAUUUAUAUAUAGCGUUUGUAUUCCAUAAUGCCGAUCUUUUAUCUCUAUUCCAUAACUAAACCACUGUAUAGGAAGAGAACAACUUUGAGAGCAAACAAGACCUUAUUUCACUAAAAGUGGAAACAACCCAAAAGCUUUAUAGAACCGCUUCUCUACAAGAAACCAACAUCUCACUCUAUAGGAUUCUUCAAGUGGCACCAUCAAUAUUUCUCGUCAUAGGAAGCUUUUUUCUCUAAGAAGAAAUUGCAUCCUAUGUACAGGUGGCUCUACC
rnacentral:lncRNA from 1 species